UGUUUGGUGGCAAAUAAAUGACCAAACGUUUGAUUUGUUAGGGUAAGAAAUAGCAGACACAUAUUUUCUUUUUUAAUAAUUCUUAAUAAUAUCACCAUAUACUAGACUGCAAUUUUAUCUGGAUAUGCAAUUGACUUGUCGCAGCAUCGGACGUCUGAAUGAUAUUAAAGUUCACUGGUCCAAGUUCAUAACUAUUGAAAGCCAAAGUGGCCAGAAUAAGCUGCAAUUCGUUCAUAAGGGUAGCUCCCCAUGGUGCCAGAUGCUUUCGAGCAUAAAGGAUUAGCUCGUACCAACUCGAUGAAUCCUUGGAGCCUUAGUUGGAACUCAAGUUUGCUUUGAAUGAAAAGAAGCCAAAAUAUAAUUAGCAGUGACCACAACUUCUCUUUUUCAUGCUACGAAGAGAAUGGUAGAAAGCAAUCUUCUGAAAGUUCACUAAGCGAGACUCAAACAUAUGUCGACUUCUUAUAACCAGAACAUAAAUUGCCUCAAGGAAUCAUGUGGCUUUGGUAAUCAGCAGGUAUUACACGUAGAAUGAGCAUACAUACCUUAGACCACCCGCAACGGGGGAUGAAGAGGAAUCCUUAGCUCUUAAUCCUAGGGGAUUAAUAAUAUAAUAACAAUAUAAACACUUAGUUACUUAAGGAUUGAUCCCUAAAUAAAGAUUUUAAGGAUCAAAUCCUUAUAGACGUGGCAGCUUGGCAUUGACUCUUCUUCUUGUACAACGACGAAUCCAGAUUCUGUAAUGGAGAGAAGGAGCAGCCAUGGGAGAAGAAGAAGGAAACAAAGGAACUGCUGCUUCAUCAUCUUCGAGAUCUCCGCCGCAACACCACAGAGAAGGUGAAGUCGUUAGCUUCGCCGCCGUGCCUCCGCCUAACUCCGGACCCGCGUCAACCAUCUUCCGCCUUUUAUGCUCACGGUGGAAUCAAAUCCAAUAGCCUAUCGUUCUCCUCAUCUGCAUCAGGUUUCGUGUCACUACCACUCGCUGUAGAGAAGUAGCUACGCUCGUCGUUCGUACAGAUGGAAGCUGCUCGACAUGUUACUGGUUCGCUUAUCAGACUUUGUUAAGUUUACUUUGUCUGCCUCGUUAAAAACCAUCAAGGAAAGGUAUGUAAAUCAUUGUGUAGACUUGUUUCUUGCCUACGCAUGUGUUCUGCUUUCCUUGUCACCUAUUACUCUGCUCUGUUAUGAUAUUUAGUGUUGUGCAUAGUCAUACAAUUUGUAAGAUGGGUCUUAUAAUGUGGAUGCUCUCUAUAAUCUUUAUACAUCAAACUUAAAAACCAAUGCUUUGUGAAUCAGACUCUGAUUGUGUUCAAUUGCUUCCAAGACCUUAGAAUAUAGGGAAGUCUCUAUCUUUAUGUUGAAUGAGUUAAAUAAAUUGUUACAUAUUUUACCAAAUAGGCAAGGAAAACCAUAAUGAACCAGAGAAAAAACUGGAAGCUUGUUCCUGUUAAUGAAAAUGCACAAAGGAAAAGGAAGCCAUAUCCUGCAGGUGAGAUGUCAUACUUUGAAUGUUGAGUAUUGUCUCUUUUGUGGGUGUGAUUUGUGGAGGUACUCUUACUUGUUUUAUCUCCAUCUUAGUUAGUUAUUUCAAAUUUCAUAUCAGACUCUCAACUAUUUGAGUCUCUGGUUUUACUUUCUAGGGUGAUUUGAAAACCUUUGCUGGUAUGAAGAGGGUGUGGCUUUCCCGAAAUUUUUCUUAUAUAUAUGAAGCCUUUUCUAACACCAA